CCAUGGCUUAUGGACGUUACCAAUGCCAGGGACAGAGCCAAGCCGCUUCCUAGCAUUGAGUACUCUCCGCAGGCCUCGU